ACACCAGGAAAGUUUGAAGCAGCUCCCCAGGAGAAUCAGGGAGGGACCUCAUCACAGAUAUGGUACAGAGGUGCUCAGCCAUGUGAGAUAAUGACUAAGCUAGAAUAUCCUCAGUGCCUAGUAGCCCCUGUCUGAAUGGUUCUGUGAUUUUUUCACCAGAUUGCUUAGCCACACAGGUGUAGCAGUGGAGGAAGCAGAAAGCUAGAUGAAUCCAUGGAUGGAAUUUUUCAGGAGAGUAACGUAGGGCAUGAAGGCCCAUCAAUGAGAGAGACAACAUUUAGAUAAGAGUACUGGAUAUUUGAAAAUUCUUACACCCUGUGAUGUGACAUGGAGAAGUGACCAACACAAAUUUGCCA
rnacentral:lncRNA from 10 species